rnacentral:rRNA from 1 species
GUGUCAGCAGCCGCGGUAAUACGUAGGUCACAAGCGUUGUCCGGAUUUAUUGGGCGUAAAGGGAGCGCAGGCGGUUUGUUAAGUCUGAUGUGAAAGCCCACGGCUCAACCGUGGAACGGCAUUGGAAACUGGCAAACUUGAGUAUAGAAGAGGAAAGUGGAAUUCCAUGUGUAGCGGUGAAAUGCGUAGAUAUAUGGAGGAACACCAGUGGCGAAGGCGACUUUCUGGUCUAUAACUGACGCUGAGGCUCGAAAGCGUGGGGAGCGAACAGGAUUAGAAACCCUCGUAGUCC